rnacentral:rRNA from 1 species
UUGAACGCUGGCGGCAGGCCUAACACAUGCAAGUCGAGCGGAUGAAGGGAGCUUGCUCCUGGAUUCAGCGGCGGACGGGUGAGUAAUGCCUCGGAAUCUGCCUGGUAGUGGGGGAUAACGUCCGGAAACGGGCGCUAAUACCGCAUACGUCCUGAGGGAGAAAGUGGGGGAUCUUCGGACCUCACGCUAUCAGAUGAGCCUAGGUCGGAUUAGCUAGUUGGUGGGGUAAAGGCCUACCAAGGCGACGAUCCGUAACUGGUCUGAGAGGAUGAUCAGUCACACUGGAACUGAGACACGGUCCAGACUCCUACGGGAGGCAGCAGUGGGGAAUAUUGGACAAUGGGCGAAAGCCUGAUCCAGCCAUGCCGCGUGUGUGAAGAAGGUCUUCGGAUUGUAAAGCACUUUAAGUUGGGAGGAAGGGCAGUAAGCUAAUACCUUGCUGUUUUGACGUUACCAACAGAAUAAGCACCGGCUAACUUCGUG